rnacentral:rRNA from 1 species
UACGUAGGGUGCAAGCGUUGUCCGGAAUUAUUGGGCGUAAAGAGCUCGUAGGCGGUUCGUCGCGUCGGCUGUGAAAUCCCGAGGCUCAACCUCGGGUCUGCAGUCGAUACGGGCGGACUGGAGUUCGGCAGGGGAGACUGGAAUUCCGUGGUGAGCGGUGAAAUGCGCAGAUAUCAGGAGGAACACCGGUGGCGAAGGCGGGUCUCUGGGCCGAUGACUGACGCUGGAGGAGCGAAAGCGUGGGGAGCGAACAGG